AGUCUCUGAUGAUGUCUUGCACUGGGCUCAGAAUAUCUGUGGCGACACACGUGCUGCUCUGCUACUGACAUGGCGGAGUCUGAAGAGGCU